CUUCAGUGGCUCUCCAUGCAAUGCAAGCAAGUUACUCUGUGCUGCCAAGAAUGCUGGAUUCUUACUAGCAACAGUCAGCAGUUUCUUUUUGGUUGCGAAAGCCCUAAGAGGCUUCGGCUGUCUAGCAGCUGUGUGUCAGAGCCUGAGGUGGACGAUGACAAAAGCAGCAGCACCAGCUGUGUGUGCAACACAUGUACACAUUCAUACACUCCUGCAGGGAGGGGUGUCUCCCACUUUCCCUUGUACUGCAAUGCAGCCUGCUGGCCCCUGCUCUGCUGCGCUGCUGCUAAGAAAUUGUUAUGAAGCCAAGCUUACUGUAAUGAUGAAUUAAAAGAUAUUUUUUGUUACAAGUAUUACGUUGGCAAUGUGGCAGAGUAGAACUUCUCAAGGCAAUACACAAUACUAAGAAAUUUGGGGGUUAAUUACAUAAUGGUACUAAGUUAGCCUAACAUCAGCGUCCUCUUUUGCAGAAAGACAGCCUUGGUUACAAAGAAAAUGCACUGGGAGAUCCCACACCUACCGAUGGAAGAGAUUGUGUAACAAUACAUCGAGGAAAGUCUUUCACCGUGCUGAACUGGAAAUUUGCCGUGGUGACAGGUAAGCUUCUUUCCUGUUGUGUCAGUUGAGCUCUCUGCGCAUCAGUCAAUGCUGCUAAAGAACUGGGCCCAUCUUGAACAGGCCCACCAUCUUACAGCAUCGCUGCGGGGAGACUGGGAAGGAAACGUCAUUACCCACUGCGCCUACAUGGACUGACAGAGCAAUUUGCACCCUUCGGCGUGCUGAGGCAAGGAGCUGGCUCACUCGGCGGCACAGCCACCUCGCAAUACACGUGCCAGCGAAGAGACGCUGAACAACCCCAGCUCCCGGCCACCUCGGAUCCGCUGGAUGGACUAGACGGACACACAGCCUCAACGACCCGACACCACCCACAGCCACCCUGCAGGAGAAGGCUGCAGCCUUCAGGUCCCCCUGCCCCCUGUGAACACGUACGUGUGUAUUAAUAAACUUGUAACAACAACU